rnacentral:rRNA from 1 species
CAGUAGCCACGGUAAUACGAAGGGGGCUAGCGUUGCUCGGAAUUACUGGGCGUAAAGGGAGCGUAGGCGGACAUUUAAGUCAGGGGUGAAAUCCCAGAGCUCAACUCUGGAACUGCCCUUGAUACUGGGUGUCUUGAGUGUGAUAGAGGUAUGUGGAACUCCGAGUGUAGAGGUGAAAUUCGUAGAUAUUCGGAAGAACACCAGUGGCGAAGGCGACGUACUGGAUCAUUACUGACGCUGAGGCUCGAAAGCGUGGGGAGCAAACAGGAUUAGAUACCCAUGUAGUCCCUGUCUCUUAUAC